rnacentral:lncRNA from 1 species
CCAGGCCUUAGACAACUUGGUGGCAGUGGCUAUUAUCUGAACCUGUGUCAUGGCAGAUGCUGAAAGAGAGGAGCCAAAAAACAUCUAUUCAAUAGUUACCUUCAAAGAAUGGAAAAGGUCCCCUGCUUCCUGUCCGCGUUCCCACAGCUGCUGAGGGCCACAGCUCCCGCCUGUGCACAGAGGGUCCUUGCUGUGUGUACGAGAUGGUGGCUCCCUGCGCCAUGUGGCAGAUGUUCAGCAUCAGGAAUCAAAACAGCUUUCACACCACGCAGCACAUUCUUCUUCCAGUCCCGUUCAUUUCCUCUCGGUGAAACUGAGAAGUGGACAGAGGAGGCCAGAGACCGCAUGGAGCUUCCUGAGUCUUGA